rnacentral:lncRNA from 1 species
UCUUCUCAGCCAGAGUUCUUUUUACACAUACCCUGUCUAACAAGGACUAUCUCACCUUCCUCUUCCUCUCAAGUGUGUCUUCCAGGGUCAAGCAAGUUCUCUUCUUUUGCUACAAAUAUGUAAUAAAAUUUUGAUUUAUGGUCAUAAUUAAAUGAUCUGAUAGCCAUUUAAAUUUUUUUUGAAAUCUACUGCUUAUUCUCCAAGCCUUCUGUCAAAAAUAAAAGAUGUGUGGUACACCAUAGUUAUGCAAGAUGCUAAACUGGGGAAAAUUAACAAGGGCAUAUGGAAUUUCUUACAACUGUGUGUGAAUCUACAGUUACCUCAAAAUAAAAAAUUAAAAAAAGAAAAGAGACAUCUUUGUUUUCUCUGAUCUUUCUCAUCAAUUUCCUCUGUGCUUUUAUGGCAUUUUCCUUAGCUGCCUAGAGAGUCAACUUCUGCUUUCCUUAGAGCCUCUCUUCCUAUCAGUCUUCCUACUUCUUCCCUUCACUAUAGUUUUUCUUAUAUGUUAUGUUAUAUACUCAUCUCUGUGCUUAUAUCAUCCCUUUAGGAUUUAGGGCCAUGAAUGAUGAUAAGUCAUGCUUUGUGCUUCUUGGCUUUUUCUACAUAGGAGGUGCUCAUGAGAUGUUUGCUGCAUUAAAUUUUUAGAUAGCCAACACCCUGGAUAUCUUUUCGGGGAACUGUACCUCUACAUUAAUACCUAGGGAAGAGAAAUGAGGUGGACCUGGAGAGUGCUUUGAUUGCUUUUUGUUAAGGAGAGUGAACCAGCGCUUCUCAAGCUUCACAGUAUAUUGGAAUCACCUGGGUGUCUCUUAAGCCAUAUCAAUUCCCAGGCUGUACCCCCAGCAAUGAUCAUUUAGUCCAUCCAAGUUGGGCACAGCAUCAGUAUUUUUAAAAGCUCUCUGGUUGAGUUCAAUGUGCAGCCAGGUUUGAGGACCACUGUUCCAGAGGAAUAAUUUCUAAAGCCUCUUUUUUCCUCUUAAUAUGCUUAAGAUUAUCUGCCGCUGAAAGUGACUGGCCACAGCAAGGAUUUUCAUCCAGAAGUGGGAAUGGGAAGUGACUAAGAAAGAUAUGAGUAAUUUGAAAAAAUUCCCUGGGGAUUACAAUAUGGCCUCUUAAGAAUGCACUCAUUCUCUGUCUACACCCCCCAGUAAUGUGAGAGUUUCUAGAACAUGUACUUAUUUUACUAGUACUAACUAAUCUCCUCUCUUUACAAGACACAUCCUGGUGCAGUGGUUGGGAGCACAGACCUUGAAGUCAGAACCUGGGUUUGAAUCCUGUCUCUAUCACUUACUCCCUGAGUCAGUCUAUCACUGCAGUUCACUAAGCCUCAGUUUCCUCAUUUGUAAAACAUGAUAAUAAUAAAACCUAUCUCAUACUAUUGUUAUCAGCAUUAAACAAUAAUUCAUGGAAAUUACUUAGACUAUGAGGAGCCUAUGAUAAGUAUGCAAUACAUGUAAACUGUUAUCUUUCCUCCCUCUCUUCCUCAUUAUAAUUAUUUUUUCCAAGCACAUGCUAAGUGCUAUGAUGUAGCAAAGAAUCAGGCUGACUCAACACUUGCCCUCAUGGAGUUCACUGGAAAAGCAGACAUUAAAUAACAGCACACAGCAUCAUUGACCAUCAAUAUUCAAUGAUCUCUGUUUCAAAGGAUGGAAAAAAAGUUUAGUUCUCAGUGUGCCACCUGAUGUAGUCCAGUUGUUAUCCUUGCAGUGGUUGUGAUGAAAGUAUCCUAACUUAGAUAGCUGGUUUCCACAGGACAUGGGAACUUUCAGGUUUGCAGGAUUUCUUUGUCCCUCCCCAGAGAUCAGAAGAGGAGGUUGGUUCAGACACUCAGCCUUUCUCAGUCUGGGCUUGGCUGGCAUGCCCAGAUCCCCAACUGAACACCCUCUCCUAAAUCCAAGCUGGCGGCCUCACUGCUGCCCUGUCUCCUUUCUGUCAUUAACCCAGCACACAUACUGUACCAUGAAACCACUGUACUUUGUCCUCAGCAAAGUUCUUAGCAUGCCGGGACAUGAUUAGAUGGCGUAUAAAUUGAAGUUGUUCCUUUGUCAUAAGACUAAGGGUGGAAGAACAUUUGCAAUGCUGUGAAAUAGAUAUUUAGCCGGUUUCACUCUUCACAAGCAUGGCACAGUGCUAAAUUUUUCAGAGUGCUGUGCCUCUGGGCAGUCAACUUGGGGUUUUCUAUCUGAAUUUAUUGAGAGUACAGAAUCACAGAAGGUGAUUAACAUAAAUUUCAACCUCUAUUUCUGCCUGUUGUUGCCUCCUAUGUUGUAUGGAAUUUUUCUUUUUUCAAUAUGCACUCAAACUAGUUGUCUUUGAAUCCUGACUCUGCCACUCACUUGGGUGGCCCUGAGUCUACAGUCUCGGUUUUCUUAUCUGUUAAGCAGGUAUGAUGACAGUACCUAGUUCAGAGAGUUGUUACAGGACCAAAUGAAUUAAUAAAUAUAAGUGCCUUGCAUUGCUGCUGGCACAUUGCAGGUAUUCGAUGACAGCCAUUUCUCUUUUAUUACAAAUAUGAUUAUUAGCUAGAUCUCUGUAAUUAUUUUUAGAGAAAGGUAACAGGAUGUAAUUUUUUUUCAAGCUAAAUACUGUGGGUCCCUUAUACAUAAUGCCUUUCAGUUAGGUUUUUCAAAUAAGGGAAGUUAAGCUUGGAGGGAUCAAGUAACUACUUCAAAGUCAGAAUCACCCAAAAUGAAGUACAGAGUGACUUUGAACUCACACACCUCUGACUUCACAAGUCCACAGUUUUUCCUCUGAGAUGCUCACCAUCAAAACACAAUUUGGGGCACUCUCAGGACAGUAGCCUCCUGGGACUCUGGGUUCACUGUGGGGACAAGUCAUACUCUAUCCUCGCUUCCAGUGGUUGAAACCUUGAAAGGAGUGGAGCACACUUCAUAUGUAUGUGUGGACUGUGUAUGCCCACAUUUAUUUUUCCAGUAUUACUAAAACUGCACCUAAUAAGUUACAUUCAGUACCUAAGGGAAACUCAGAGAGGGUAGCUGCGGGAUAAUCAUUGGAAAUCUCCCCAGUGUCCAAGAUUCUUUCCAAGAUGAGAUUUUCCUCCUAGUAACAGUUUCUAGAGGUUCAUUUGUCAGUUCUGUAUCCAAUUUCCAAGUAUUGUUGGUUUUUUCCUCCUAAAUACUUCUCAUGUCUGCCCUUCUUGCCCCAUCCAAGCCCUUCUUCACGUCGAAGGCUAGCGUGAUCACUGGAAUAUGCUGAAUCACUGUCACCCCCCUCCCCCAUACCAUUCUCCAAUGGCUCCCAAGUGCUCUUAGUGUAGUCAGGUCCUAACCAUGGCCCUGCAUACAUGCCCAGGCAGCCCACCGUGUUCCAGGCUAGGAGUGCAGCAUAUGCAAAAUGUCUCUGGCAACUUUUCCAGAACCUUCCUUUGCCUAUACUCUGUUACUCUCCCAGCUCCAAUCACACCAUCUUUCAGUAUCACUCUUACCUGGGAGCUUUGAUGGAUGAUGUUUUCUUUGCCUGGAACAUGUUUCUACUUCCUGUCCCUCUUCUUAACUAAUUCUCAUCUGUUAGUGUUCAGCUCAAAUCCUACCUCCUCAAGAAAAUUUUCUCUGAUCGCUUAGUUUAGGUGGAGUUCCCAAUGUUUGUAUGCAAAGUUCUCUGAAGCAUUUGUCACGAUUGUGAUUGAGUAUCUAAUUGCAUAAAGCCUUGUUUGAUCUCUUCCAUCAGCAUGGAAACCCUACAAAGAGGGUCUUGAGUCUUGGGUCUUUCUUAUUCUCUACUGCAUACAUUGCUGUUCCUUUGCAGCGUGGGUCUUGGAUAAAUAUUUGUAGAGUGAAUAAAUAGACUCUAGGGGCAAACUGGGUUUUUUUUCUUCCCUAAAAGGGGCUAUGAUCUGAUUGAUAAGCUUUCCUCUCUUAAAUCAAAGUAGGAUUCCAGAAGUGUCCACUUUUUAAGCAGGCUUAAUCUCAUUACUGGAUAUAUUUUUGGGGAAAUCCAAUUAAAGCAUGCCAUGCAGCUUGGUCACUAGGGGUGGCCAUCACUACCCAGGUCUAAAAACCCGCGUUACAUGCAGUGGCCUUUCCAGCUGAAUCUCUGCUUCAGGCCACUUCUCCAAUACAAUUAUCUUGCUUUAAUGUGUAUGCAAGCUGCCUCUAACAAAUUGCUUUAAUAAUCAUCGUCUCUUGCAGAACAAACCUGUAAAGGAGGCAUUUUUCCUUGACUAGUGUAAUGGAAUAGACCCAAGCCAUAAUUGGAAAAGCUAGAAAUAGAGAACAUUGGCUGUUCUUUCUUCCCAGAGUUUGCUUUGUUGAAUCCUUUCCUCAUUUUCAGUGAUAAAAGUCAUUUCUCUUGCAUCCCAUUUCUUGAAUCAUCUGGCAAUAAUCUUGGCUUCCAAAAUGGAUAGGCACAAUGAGCUCAUUCAUCUCUCUCAUAAAGCCCUCCCCCUCCCCAUUGCUGCAGUCACACUUGGGGGCUCCAGGGGUUAAGAGCAGAUUCAUCAAUGACUGUAAGUAGAGGCACUAAUGUCCACAUCAUUCACUCCACCGUAUGGUUGAAAAAAAUACCUUUAGCUAGGAAUCACCAUCCUGCUUGGAUUCUCAGAGGAAUUAACUCAUGAUUCCUUGCUAUUUCUGGGCAAAUUUUAGAAGAGAUGCUUUAAGUAUAUUGAAUGGGAUAAAAACAAAGACAGAUCUGAAAAGUUUAAUGGCAGUAUCCCCUAAUGCUUUUAAAACUUAGAAAUAAGGAAAGGGAGGCAUU